ACUGGCAGCUAUAGCGCUUUGCAACUCUCACAUGGUCGCCCACUGAAGCUAAGCAGGGCUGCGCCUGGUCAGUACCUGAAUGGGAGAUCACAUGGGAAAGCUAGGUUGCUGCCGGAA
rnacentral:rRNA from 1 species